rnacentral:rRNA from 1 species
UUCCAGACUCCUACGGGAGGCAGCAGUGGGGAAUAUUGCACAAUGGGGGAAACCCUGAUGCAGCAACGCCGCGUGGGUGAAGGAGCGUUUCGGCGCGUAAAGCCCUGUCAGCGGGGAAGAAGAAAGACGGUACCCGACCAAGAAGCCCCGGCUAACUACGUGCCAGCAGCCGCGGUAAUACGUAGGGAGCAAGCGUUGUCCGGAAUUACUGGGCGUAAAGGGCGCGUAGGUGGGCGCUUAAGUCAGGUGUGAAAACUCCGGGCUCAACCUGGAGACUGCACUUGAAACUGGGUGUCUUGAGGGCAGGAGAGGAAAGUGGAAUUCCUAGUGUAGCGGUGAAAUGCGUAGAUAUUAGGAGGAACACCAGUGGCGAAGGCGACUUUCUGGACUGUACCUGACGCUGAGGCGCGAAAGCGUGGGUAGCGAACGGGAUUAGAUACCCUCGUAG